GCUGUCCCAAGCGAAGUUUUCUUUGGGUAUCGCUUGAGAACUGACAGAGAUAAUAUUAUGGGAUCAGAGCUUGAUAACGGGCUAUUUACGGAUGUGACUUAUUUGCGGAAGAAUGUGGAUGAUAAUCUUAAAGCCAGUGCAGUUAGUCAGAAAAAGAGGUUCGACAAUUCAAGAAUAAGGGCAAGAAAAUAUGAAAUUGGUGACCUUGUACUUAUUAAAAUUCAGAGUAAGAAUAACGAUGGCCAAAGUACAAAAUUGAUGCCGAUUUUUAAAGGGCCAUUUCAAAUAAAAAGCGUAUUAGGCAAUGAUCGUUAUGAGGUGACGGAUUUAAGAGGUUCUGAGCGUUCUAAUAAGAAUUAUACAGGCACGGCAGCAGCCGAAAAUAUGAAGCCGUGGAUUAAAAUAGAUGAUUGGGCAUCUGAUUAAAGUAUUAUGAAAUCUAAUCAUAUUAUCGUCAUGUGUGGCGUCAGGCGCUGACACCAUGCAGCAUGGCCGUGUUGGCAACAAAGAAGGAACGUCACUGACUGCAGCUUCCGGUGGUGCUAUCGUAGCACGCAGCAGCAGUUUCCGGUCGACAGAGGGCGCCACUUCGUGGAACAAAACCGGCAUGCUCGGCUGUGCGCGUUUCUUGCGGGGUUGGCACUCGACACGAGAACAUCGAUUAUUCUAAUUGCUGUCCGAUCGUUUGAUUUGAAGUGUAAUUGUAAUCUUGUCGUUUUUUUAAUAAAAGUAUUUUAUAUAUUGGG